rnacentral:rRNA from 1 species
CGGGGUGCAGCAGGCGCGAAAACUUUGCAAUACACGAAAGUGUGACAGGGUCAUCCCGAGUGCCGACCGCUGAGGUUGGCUUUUACCCAGUCUAGAAAGCUGGGGGAAUAAGGAGAGGGCAAGUCUGGUGUCAGCCGCCGCGGUAAUACCAGCUCUCCGAGUGGUGUGGACGUUUAUUGGGCCUAAAGCAUCCGUAGCUGGCUGAACAAGUCCCCUGUUAAACCCACCGAUUUAAUCGUUGGUCUGCGGGGGAUACUGCUCGGCUAGGGGACGAGAGAGGCAGACGGUAUUCCCGGGGUAGGGGUGAAAUCCUAUAAUCCCGAGAAGACCACCAGUGGCGAAGGCUGUCUGCUAGAACGCGCCCGACGGUGAGGGAUGAAAGCUGGGGGAGCGAACCGGAUUAGAUACCCGGGUAGUCCCAGCUGUAAACGAUGCAGACUAGGUGUUUGGACGGCCACGUGCCGUUCUAGUGCCGCAGGGAAGCUGUUAAGUCUGCCGCCUGGGGAGUACGAUCGCAAGAUUGAAACUUAAAGGAAUUGGCGGGGGAGC